ensembl:lncRNA
UCUGUUCCUAGUGGGCCACUGUCCUGCAGAGUUUGGUUUUAGAAAAACUGUAUUCCUAGAACUCCCGAAUGGAAUAGUUAACAUAAGCCUGUGCGUCACAAGUGACAUAAUCAAAAUAGGAAAAACAUUUCAGAGGUUGUUUCAAUUGAUUACAUUUUGUCGAAAGAUUAUGAAAACAUUAUUUUACAUCCACAAUAACAAAUGAACCUAAAUGAAAUACUAUCAUUUUAAAUUUAUUAUGAUUUUAAUGGCUUAAAAUAUUGAUAAUGUCUGGGCUACUGUGAAGAGCUCUCAAGGUUUGUUGGGUUUCGGUGUGUGUCUUCUGAUUACAUGCAACUGCCCCGGGGUGAAUAGAGAGAGAAUGACAGAAAUGGAAGGAGGUAAAACAGAGGCAGGGAGGGAGAAGGAGCUAAUGCAUGGUGUGUACUCAGCUAGUAAACUUGAUGCUGAUGGUUCCCUAGGCUUUAAUAACACACAUACACAAAUCAAACACACACACACACGUUUUCCCCUAGUGCACCUUGUCCUCAGGAAAGUCUUCAUCAGGGACAUUUCUUUUAUGGCCUCUGAAUGGACAUUGUGUAGCAAUGUAUUCAGACUCAAUCAGAUGACCAGCCCCCAAGCGAAGGCACAGAUAGAAAGAAAGAGAAAGGGAGAGAGAGAACGAGAGAAGAGAAGGGAUGGGACGGGAGAGAGAGAGAGGAAGAAGACUGAAGGGAGGGAGGCGAUUCUGUGAGCAGAACAGUGCUGCACAACUGCGUGUCUGUCCUCAGUGAGUGUACACUGAAAUAACAACAGGUUUUUUCAAGAAGCAGAACACGUUGACUACAUUAUCUAGAGACAGCUGAUUUCCCUCCUAAAGUCGAGACAUGGAAAGAACAGAGAACAAAGUGUCCACCAUCUCCCCGCAAAAACAGACAGUAAAAAAUCGAUCCAAGUCCACAGAGGAGGUACAGCAAGCCAAAAAGGCCUUUCAUACACCACAAAAAUCUCUACCGGCUAAACCAGAAACCGAACAACUAGAGGUAAACAUGAAAUGAUGAAUUAUGGGCUGUUUUAGAGCUUGACUUUGAAAAAAAAAAAAUAGAUCAAAGAUUAGACCAAAGACCAGUCAGUGCUGCUUGUGCUGUCAGAGCUGCUUUAUUAUGUGCUUCAUGUUUGUGUUUGAUGUCCUCGAUUACAUUGUGUCUAAUGUGUUAAUAUAUUUUACAGGAAACCUCAGAACUGAGUGCCUCAUCAGAGGAGUUCAAAUGAUUGCUCGAUUCAAACUUCGGGGCUUUGAGAUUUAGACAGAUGAGCUGGAAUUAUGGGUAAUCACAAGAGGAUGAUUCAGUGUCUCUGUUUAUAAAAUUGUGAAGUUUUAAUUAGUUUAGUUAGCAUAGAAGAAAACAAUAAUCAUGUAGCUUCUUGAAUUUGUAUGAGUCUGAUAAUGUUUGUGAAAUAAAUGCACAACUGGAUAUCACAGUGAAUUGUGUAUGUGAUUCAUAUUAACAGGUUCAUACAGUACAUGUACAGUUGUUGUGACUUGUAAAUAAUCAAACUUGAAAAACUAAAUUCAAUUAAAAAUAUCACAGAUGCACUUUAUUUU